UACGGAGGGGGCGAGCGUUAUUCGGAAUUAUUGGGCGUAAAGGGCGCGUAGGCGGCUGUACAAGUCAAAGGUGAAAUCCCUCGGCUCAACUGAGGAACUGCCUUUGAAACUGUACGGCUUGAGGCCGGGAGGGGGUAGCGGAAUUCCCAGUGUAGCGGUGAAAUGCGUAGAUACUGGGAGGAACACCAGUGGCGAAGGCGGCUACCUGGACCGGUUCUGACGCUGAGGCACGAAAGCUAGGGGAGCAAACAGG
rnacentral:rRNA from 1 species